rnacentral:rRNA from 1 species
UACGUAGGUGGCAAGCGUUUGUCCGGAUUUAUUGGGUUUAAAGGGUGCGUAGGCGGUCUAUUAAGUCAGUGCUGAAAUAUCCCGGCUUAACCGGGAGGGUGGCAUUGAUACUGAUGGACUUGAGUGCAGUCGAGGUAGGCGGAAUUGACGGUGUAGCGGUGAAAUGCGCAGAUAUCGGGAGGAACACCGGUGGCGAAGGCGGUUCUCUGGGCCUGUACUGACGCUGAGGAGCGAAAGCGUGGGGAGCGAACAGG